rnacentral:lncRNA from 1 species
UCAUGUCAAGAGAUAUCUAAGGCCUACAGAUAUUUCAAAUAUUAUCUUCCUUUGCCACUUGGAGGGUCCAAAAGCAGCUGAAUAGGACAGAACAAGCAGUAGGUGCAGAUAUUUCUGCCUUAUGGGGGGAUCUAAAAUUUUUUUACAGUAUAAAUAUAAUAAUAUACUAAUUAUAUUUUUAUGUACUAUAAUAAUUUAUAAUAAUUACCGACCGUCCCUAGAGCAAGUGGCAAAGAACUUGGUGGUUGGUAUCCGAGACCCAAGUUCAAAUCCUAGUUGAUUCACAUUUUCCAGCUAAGUUUAUUUCUAAAUGAAAUAAACGAAGCAGUUAGUGUGCUACCUAUCUCUCAAAAAAAAAAUUGCAAUAAUUAUUAUUAAAAGAAUAAAAAUAAUAAAUUUACAACUAUUGAAAA